ACCUCGAAGGUAAUUAAGCCAAUGUUCCCAUUGCGGGGGCCUCUCCUGACGCCAUUUUUCUCCUUCCGGAGCGCUCCGCAGAGCGAAGGGAGGGCGCGCCAAGCCAGAGCCCAAGGCGCCCUCCAAGAACGCGCGCUACUUGGAAUCCCCCUCCCGGAAACCCGCAAAGCUGGAAAGCACCUCAUCUCAGCCCCUCAUUGCACCAAUAAGGAAGUAGGUCCCAGCGAAAAGAGGCGGCAGGGGCGGAACACACGAGCAACAGACCUACGGUAAUUUAUUGUUAUAAAUUUGUACAACCGGAUCAGUCCUUGAAAGAUGGGAAAGAGCACUGAUAAUCGCAGAAACAAAAGUGAUCCUUCACCAAAGGUGGCUUGAGAAGCACAGAGGCCUCAUCAGUAGCCUAAGAACAAUGAAGGGAAGAGACAUAUGUGGCCCAAUAACAGGAAAUACACUCUGGGACUUCCCUGGUGGUGCAAUAGUUAAGAAUCCGCCUGCCAAUGCAGGGGACACGAGUUCGAUCCCUGGUCCGGGAAGAUCCCACGUGUCGCGGAGCAACUAAGCCCGUGCGCCACAACUACUGAAGCCUGCACGCCUGGAACCUGUGCUCCGCAACAAGAGAAGCCACCGCAAUGAGAAGCCCGUGCACCACAACGAAGAGUAGCCCCUGCUCACUGCAACCAGGGAAAGCCCUCGUGCAGCAACGAAGAC